rnacentral:lncRNA from 1 species
UUUAACUUUGGUUAAAUUUUAGUUUUCCAGACUUUCAGAAUUCAGAUUCUUCCUUCAGUGUUUUACCGAGUGGUUUAAUUCUAAAUAAAUCCAGAUUCUCAUAUCUGGAGAUUUGUUGAUUUUUUUUGUUUUGUUUACAGGAACAUCUAUUUCAUUCAUUUCCAGAUUUUUAGUUUAAAAUUUGGUUUGAUUUGCAGAAUUCAGAUUUUGCAGAAUUUAGUUAAAUUUGGAAGAAUUUCAGAAUUUGGUUUGAUUUGCAUAACUUAGUUUUAAAUUUGGUUAAAUUUUAGUUUUUCAGACUUUUAGAAUUCAGAUUCUUCCUUCAGUGUUUUACCCGACGUCAGAAUUUGUAGGUUGAGUUACAUGACUUUUAGAGCUUUAUAAUCCCAUAGUUAUUUAGACAUAAGUCAUUUAGUUUGAUUUGCUAUUUAUCUCUAUUCCGUACUAUGAUUUUCAGAAUUUUUACUCUUUCUUUCAGAGUUUUAACAGAUAUUUAAAAUUUCAGAUUGAUCUACAUUUACCUUCAUGAUGUUAAUUGAUUUGUGAAUUUAUAAGUGAGAUCUUGUGAAUUGUGAUGGGUAAGUGAAGUGUUAUUGAGUGAGUGAUGAGAGUGUUGGUACGAACCAAAUUACAAGUGCAUUGUGAGUGUUAUAGGAUGACAAAAUUAUAAGUGCAUUGUGAGUGUUAUAGGGUGACAAAAUUAUAUGUGAAGUGUGAGUGUUAUAAUAUAACGAAAAAGUAUUAUUAUUUACUUGAUAUUUGUGAUUUUGAUUGCUUUACAAUGUGGUUUGACUGCUAUGUAGGGGAAACCAUACCGAGUCAUGAUAUAGUGACUCAUUCAUAUUUUGAUUUGUGAUGUGGUAGGGUGAAAGUAGAUGUAACGGGACGCGAGGAUGGGAUGGAUCAUUUCGGAGCUUUCAAUCAUUAAAUUAGCUCUUAAACAAUGUCAUUAGCAAAACCCUAUUUUAGUUAUCUGUUUUGAAAUCCUAGUGUUCUUUGGUAUUUAAAUUUAUGAGAUUAUUGGAUACGUAAAUUUAUUUCGUUGUCAAUUUUAGUAUCAGAUUGUUAACAUACUUAAAUAGGAUGUUACAAAUGGU